GCGCCCGUAGCUCAGUUGGACCAGAGCAGCGGCCUUCUAAGCCGCAGGCCGGGGGUUCGAUUCCUCCCGGGCGCGCCA
rnacentral:tRNA from 4 species